rnacentral:rRNA from 1 species
GAUGAACGCUGGCGGCGUGCCUAAUACAUGCAAGUCGAGCGAACGGACGAGAAGCUUGCUUCUCUGAUGUUAGCGGCGGACGGGUGAGUAACACGUGGAUAACCUACCUAUAAUACUGUGAUAACUUCGGGAAACCGGAGCUAAUACCGGAUAAUAUUUUGAACCGCAUGGUUCAAAAGUGAAAGACGGUCUUUCUGUCACUUAUAGAUGGAUCCGCGCUGCAUUAGCUAGUUGGUAAGGUAACGGCUUACCAAGGCAACGAUGCAUAGCCGACCUGAGAGGGUGAUCGGCCACACUGGAACUGAGACACGGUCCAGACUCCUACGGGAGGCAGCAGUAGGGAAUCUUCCGCAAUGGGCGAAAGCCUGACGGAGCAACGCCGCGUGAGUGAUGAAGGUCUUCGGAUCGUAAAACUCUGUUAUUAGGGAAGAACAUAUGUGUAAGUAACUGUGCACAUCUUGACGGUACCUAAUCAGAAAGCCACGGCUAACUACGUG